AAAAUAAAACAUUGUCAACAUAUUAUUUUGUGCCACAAGAAGCAGAAUGUUUUAACAGUACAGUAGUUUGAAUAUAUUUGUUGUUUACCUUUAUCAGACCUCUAAGGCACCCACAACCAGCGUCUGAUCGGGAUAGAGCACCAACCCCAUUCCAGGAAGAGGUCCAGUCUGCCCCGGGUCAGAACAACUUCUAUAGCAACUACACAAAUGGGUAUGCACUUAUCAUUAUUGAUAGCCAGUCUGAGCCAGAAGACAAAAUGGAGCAACGGUAUUAAUUGUUACUAUUACCACUUAAUUG